UACAGGGGGUGCUAGCGUUGUUCGGAAUUAUUGGGCGUAAAGGCCGCGUAGGCGGCCCAGUGUGUCGGGUGUGAAAGCCCACCUCUUAAAGGUGGAAUUGCAUUCGAAACUACCGGGCUGGAGUGUCGGAGAGGAUGGCGGAAUUCCUGGUGUAGAGGUGAAAUUCGUAGAUAUCAGGAGGAACACCGGUGGCGAAGGCGGCCAUCUGGACGACAACUGACGCUGAGGCGCGAAAGCGUGGGGAUCAAACAGG
rnacentral:rRNA from 1 species